GUCCCCAUCGUCUAGAGGCCCAGGACGCCGGCCUCUCACGCCGGUAACGGGGGUUCGAAUCCCCCUGGGGACGCCA
rnacentral:tRNA from 1 species